CGCGCCGUAGAGAUGCAGCAGAACAAACCGUUCGCGACGCACUUUUAAAAGACCCAGGUAACUGGCUGAUGGUUCACUGGAAUGCUGACUGCUGCUGGCUGACUUGCUGCUGGUUGACUGGGCAGUGUCACCUGUCCCUGUCUCUCCUCUCUAGCCAUGUCCUUUUUCUUCACUCUCACUUUCCCUUCUCUGAGUGUCCUCGUUCUUUUUUCCUCAACCUUUGAAACUGAUAGAGGUCUAGGGGUGCAUCGUGGAGC